rnacentral:rRNA from 1 species
AAGCGGAGGAAAAGAAACUAACAAGGAUUCCCCUAGUAGCGGCGAGCGAAGCGGGAAGAGCUCAAAUUUAUAAUCUGGCACCUUCGGUGUCCGAGUUGUAAUCUCUAGAAGUGUUUUCCGCGUUGGACCGCACACAAGUCUGUUGGAAUACAGCGGCAUAGUGGUGAAACCCCCGUAUAUGGUGCGGACGCCCAGCGCUUUGUGAUACACUUUCAAUGAGUCGAGUUGUUUGGGAAUGCAGCUCAAAUUGGGUGGUAAAUUCCAUCUAAAGCUAAAUAUUGGCGAGAGACCGAUAGCGAACAAGUACCGUGAGGGAAAGAUGAAAAGCACUUUGGAAAGAGAGUUAACAGUACGUGAAAUUGUUGGAAGGGAAACGCUUGAAGUCAGACUUGCUUGCCGGAGCUUGCUUCGGUUUGCAGGCCAGCAUCAGUUUUCCGGGGUGGAUAAUGACGGUUUGAAGGUAGCAGUCUCGGCUGUGUUAUAGCUUUCCGUUGGAUACAUCCUGGGGGACUGAGGAACGCAGCGUGCUUUUUGCGAAAGACUCGUCUUUUUCACGCUUAGGAUGCUGGUGGAAUGGCUUUAAACGACCCGUCUUG